UUGCACGCUGGCGGCAGGCCUAACCCAUGCCAGUCGAGCGGAUGAAGGGAGCUUGCUCCUGGAUUCAGCGGCGGACGGGUGAGUAAUGCCUAGGAAUCUGCCUGGUAGUGGGGGAUAACGUCCGGAAACGGGCGCUAAUACCGCAUACGUCCUGAGGGAGAAAGUGGGGGAUCUUCGGACCUCACGCUAUCAGAUGAGCCUAGGUCGGAUUAGCUAGUUGGUGGGGUAAAGGCCUACCAAGGCGACGAUCCGUAACUGGUCUGAGAGGAUGAUCAGUCACACUGGAACUGAGACACGGUCCAGACUCCUACGGGAGGCAGCAGUGGGGAAUAUUGGACAAUGGGCGAAAGCCUGAUCCAGCCAUGCCGCGUGCGUGAAGAAGGUCUUCGGAUUGUAAAGCACUUUAAGUUGGGAGGAAGGGCAGUAAGUUAAUACCUUGCUGUUUUGACGUUACCAACAGAAUAAGCACCGGCUAACUUCGUG
rnacentral:rRNA from 1 species